rnacentral:rRNA from 1 species
UACGUAGGGUGCAAGCGUUAAUCGGAAUUACUGGGCGUAAAGCGUGCGCAGGCGGUUGUGCAAGACAGAUGUGAAAUCCCCGGGCUUAACCUGGGAACUGCAUUUGUGACUGCAAGGCUAGAGUACGGUAGAGGGGGAUGGAAUUCCGCGUGUAGCAGUGAAAUGCGUAGAUAUGCGGAGGAACACCGAUGGCGAAGGCAAUCCCCUGGACCUGUACUGACGCUCAUGCACGAAAGCGUGGGGAGCAAACAGG